rnacentral:lncRNA from 1 species
AUAUAUAUAUAUAUAUAAUAUAUAGUGUGAAUUUCAAAACUACUCAACCCUGUUCAAACCAUUCUUUAGAGGAUGGGAUUUGGCUAUUUCCUGAUCAAUAACAAUAGAGAUACUUGGAAUGACAGAAUCAGGUCUUGGAAGCUAUACUCUCUACCCUACUCAAGGUAACAGGAUUUAGGAAGGGCUGCAGCAAAGCUCAAGAUUUAAUUAUUUGAGAAUAUGACCUUCAAGAGACUUGUGCAAAGGGGACAGACCUCUGGGCAGUCCUGGGUGAAGCUAGAGCCACCAUUGGCACAGGUGAGACACAGGAAGUGAGGUAGAGGACAGCUGAGGAGUUCUGGGGACUUCCUGUAUGAAGGAGAGGAGGUUGUUGGAGCCUGGUGCUUUGGAAUGGAGGCGCUCAGACUGUUUCUCCAUUUUGGUCACACCCCAGGAUUCCACUAAAUCUUAUGGACCUACCUUGUUCUUGGGUGCCUCACUGCCUUAGGUCCAAUUUUGAAUAAGGCUAGAAGAUUUCUAAGGCUUUUUCCAGUCUUUGAUCCUGUUACUGAACAGUUUUACUAUAAAUGAAGUUGGUCUAUAUAAGAAGGUUGAAUGUAAAUACAAGGAUGGUACCCAGCUUCACCUUGGAAGGCAAAUAAAGAGGAUGAUGGAAUUCA